UACGCAGGGGGCAAGCGUUAUCCGGAUUUACUGGGUGUAAAGGGAGCGUAGACGGCAUGGCAAGUCAGAUGUGAAAGCCCGGGGCUCAACCCCGGGACUGCAUUUGAAACUGUCAGGCUGGAGUGCAGGAGAGGUAAGCGGAAUUCCUAGUGUAGCGGUGAAAUGCGUAGAUAUUAGGAGGAACACCAGUGGCGAAGGCGGCUUACUGGACUGUAACUGACGUUGAGGCUCGAAAGCGUGGGGAGCAGACAGG
rnacentral:rRNA from 1 species